UGUCCAUGGAGGACUCUCAUGCAGUGUAUGCCGCGUGAGUGAAGAAGGCCUUUGGGUUGUAAAGCUCUUUUGUAGGGGAAGAUAAUGACUGUACCCUAAGAAUAAGGUCCGGCUAACUUCGUGCCAGCAGCCGCGGUAAUACGAAGGGACCUAGCGUAGUUCGGAAUUACUGGGCGCAAAGCGCGCGUAGGCCGUUGAGUUAGUUAAUUGUGAAAUCCCAAAGCUUAACUUUGGAACUGCAAUUAAAACUGCUCGACUAGAGUUUGAUAGAGGAAAGCGGAAUACAUAGUGUAGAGGUGAAAUUCGUAGAUAUUAUGUAGAACACCAGUUGCGAAGGCGGCUUUCUGGGUCAACACUGACGCUGAGGCGCGAAAGUAUGGGUAGCAAAGAGGAUUAGAUACCCUCGUAGUCCAUACCAUAAACGAUGAUUGCUAGAUGUUGGAAAUUUAUUUUCAGUAUCGCAGCUAACGCAUUAAGCAAUCCGCCUGGGGAGUACGACCGCAAGGUUAAAACUCAAAUGAAUUGACGGGGACCCGCACAAGCGGUGGAGCAUGUGGUUUAAUUCGAAGAUACGCGCAGAACCUUACCAACCCUUGACAUGUCUGUCGCGAGUUUAGGAAACUAGACUUUUCGGUUCGGCCGGACAGAACACAGGU
rnacentral:rRNA from 1 species